rnacentral:rRNA from 1 species
UACGUAGGGGGCAAGCGUUGUCCGGAAUCAUUGGGCGUAAAGCGCGCGUAGGCGGCUCGGUAAGUCCGUUGUGAAAGUCAAAGGCUCAACCUUUGAAUGCCGAUGGAUACUGUCGAGCUAGAGUCCGGAAGAGGCGAGUGGAAUUCCUGGUGUAGCGGUGGAAUGCGCAGAUAUCAGGAGGAACACCGGUGGCGAAGGCGGUUCUCUGGGAAUGUCCUGACGCUGAGGAGCGAAAGUGUGGGGAGCGAACAGG